UUUUGAAAGCUCAUUUGUGAUGCCAAAUAACUUCAACAUAAGCUUUAGAAUGAAAGCAAAUUUAAAGCUCUCCAUUUUUUCUAUCAAACCCGCUGCUUGAGAUGGUCCACGUCCAUAUUCAUCAACUGUACUAAGCACCUUUAACACAGAGGACCACAUUUGAUCCAAACGAAGUAAGGUAGUAUGAUGUGAACCCCAUCUAGUAUCUCCCGGUCUAGGAAGAGUAGAUGAUUGGUGCAAGCCCCUUCCAGUAGAUAUCUCACCACUCUCAAGUCUAUC
rnacentral:lncRNA from 1 species